ensembl:lncRNA
GUGAACCUCUUUUUCCUUCUUCCCCCCCAUAAAACAGCAGGCCGGCCUCGGUCUGAGAGCCAGACAGGGGUGUGUAUAGGAAUAAAAGCUGCAGCUAGCCCUCCUAGCAACCUUUCAAUGAAACGUCAGUCCACAGCCGGGGCGGCACAAAGAAGAGAAAACCUGAGCAGGAGCCGAAACGGAGCAGCUUCAUCACCCUUUCUUCUACUCACCAUAACCUCCGCAGCUCGUCCUCACAGCCAGCCCGUGUCUCCCCGGGACAAGAAUGGGAUCGUCGUGCGCAGGCGCAGUAGAUGCAGGGAUGAUGUUGGCACUUGGAAGUCUGUCGCAUGGCAAUGCUGAAAAAAACAAAAAUCCCCGACGGUGUGCAACACAUAACACAACCUCUGGCGACAUCUGGUGGACACACGGUGGCUUCACAAACGCGCAUUGUCUUUCAGCAAAUCAAAGUUCACAGUGAUGGAUGUUGGACUGAUACGAAGCAGAUGCUCACAGUUGGUUUCAAAGGUUUCAGUCGUCAGUUUAAAGGUCUGCUGUUCUGGUUCUUGGUGCCAGUUUCAUCAGAAACAAAUGGAACCAGAGGGGCACCGCUGGUCCUUCAGUGCCAUCACAACCUCAGCGAAAAGUUCAUUCCUGAGCAAACCUCCAUAUACUGGCAAAGUAAUUCCAGCGUUCUUCAUGUUUUUUCAAAAGGACAAGAGGAAUUUCAACACCAAAGUGAGUCAUUUAAAAACAGGACUGCAAUUUUCCGCGAUCAACUGGCCUCUGGCAACUUCUCCCUUGUCAUCAAUCCGCUGAUGCUGAAAGACGAUCAGCUCAGCAUCGAAGUUGCUUACAUACCAGAAAGCAGGACGCUCUGCCAAACCACUGUUCAUGUAGCAGCUCGUUUUGAGAUGCCAAAUAUCGUGGUCAACACCAUAGAUAUGAUGGCUAUGUGUGCAACAAAGGGGGGCUUUCCUGAACCAGAGCUAUCAUGGAUCUCCGUGGACCACGAGGGACAUGAACGUACACUUGAACCACCUGAUGUCCAGACCCUUGAGAUCUACAAGGAAGAUGACGGCACCUACAGAGUUACCAGUACUGCCAACAUCAGAGGAUCACAGAAAGUUACAUGCAGCGUUUACAACCCAACUUCAAAGGAGACAUUGAGUGUAAUUAAAGACGUAAUUACAGAUGAAGGCUGGAGUCUGCCUUUGGGAGCUGUUCUUGGAGUACCGGUAAUACUUGCAGUAAUACUCGGAGCAGGAGCCACCAUUGGCUGCCGAAAAAGGAAAAGGAGAGACUAUUCAGGACAAAGCCUACAACAACUGAGCGCCAAUGAACCUGCACCAUUGGAAGACAGCACUCCUGAUCCUGCAGCUGUUGUAGUUGAUGAUGUAGCUAAAUAAAGGGAAAACACUAAAUAGAAGACAUAGCAGGAACUCAUGUUUCUGAAAUAAAGACCUCAUCUAUGGAGGACCACAGAGCCACACACACCGAAAAAUAGUGUUUUUAUUUUAAAUUCAAUUAUUAAAUAAUAAAUAACUUUAUUAACGUUUGAAUAAGUAAAAUAAUAAAUAAAUGAAUCUGUAAAUGAAUUUACAAAUGCAUAACUUAUUGUACAAUUCAUUAUUUAAGCAAAAAAAGUCCUUACUUGAUGCACGUGGCUCUUGUGGUGCUCCAUAUGUUAGCAUGUUACCUUCAACAGGUGGUUAUAGGCUGAGUCUACAGGCGCACACUCGGAGGAUCAACUCUACAUUUCACUGCAGGGCCCCUUCAUUUUUCACAAUCGGUGUCGGGCAGAAUGUAAAUACAUAGGCUGAAAUCUAAAUUUUACAUUUGAUGUUUACAUCUAAAUUAUUUAGCUGUAACAAAACAGGAAUAAAAUGUAGGACACGGAAACUAAAGUUCAAAAUUUGAAGAAAUAGAUCACACGCAGUUUACUGAUGGAUCGAGAUAUUAGUUACCCAGAUAGCAUCAGACCCCAAGGUGGAUCUGCCCUGAAUACAGUGUAUUAAAUAAAAACUGUUUUUGUAGCAGUUUAUGAACAUUACGUUGUUUUAAUGAGUAUUUAGUAAAAUUUAAAUGUCUCAAUUAAAUGUUA